GGGCCAGACUCCUACGGGAGGCAGCAGUGGGGGAUAUUGCACAAUGGGGGGAACCCUGAUGCAGCGACGCCGCGUGGGUGAAGAAGCGCCUCGGCGCGUAAAGCCCUGUCAGCAGGGAAGAAAAUGGCGGUACCUGAAGAAGAAGCCCCGGCUAACUACGUGCCAGCAGCCGCGGUAAUACGUAGGGGGCAAGCGUUAUCCGGAUUUACUGGGUGUAAAGGGGGCGCAGACGGCGAUGCAAGCCAGGAGUGAAAGCCCGGGGCCCAACCCCGGGACUGCUCUUGGAACUGCGUGGCUGGAGUGCAGGAGGGGCAGGCGGAAUUCCUGGUGUAGCGGGGAAAUGCGUAGAUAUUACACAGAACACCGAUUGCGAAGGCAGCUUGCUAGGCCGGAUCUGACACUGAUGCACGAAAGCGUGGGGAUCGAACAGGAUUAGAUACCCGCGUACAU
rnacentral:rRNA from 1 species